rfam:Nematostella vectensis strain CH2 x CH6 NEMVEscaffold_407_Cont26403, whole genome shotgun sequence.
ACAACGGCUCCUAUAGGAGCCACCCAAACAAAUAAAAGUCUACCCU